rnacentral:rRNA from 1 species
UACGUAGGGCGCAAGCGUUGUCCGGAAUUAUUGGGCGUAAAGAGCUCGUAGGCGGCCUGUUGCGUCCGCUGUGAAAUCCCGGGGCUCAACCCCGGGCCUGCAGUGGAUACGGGCUGGCUGGAGGCAGGCAGGGGAGAACGGAAUUCCUGGUGUAGCGGUGAAAUGCGCAGAUAUCAGGAGGAACACCGGUGGCGAAGGCGAUUCUCUGGGCCUGUUCUGACGCUGAGGAGCGAAAGCGUGGGGAGCGAACAGG